UACGUGGGGGGCUAGCGUUGUCCGGAUUUAUUGGGCGUAAAGAGCGUGUAGGCGGCCUGGUAGGUCUGCUGUGAAAACUCGAGGCUCAACCUCGAGAUGUCGGCGGAAACCAUCUGGCUAGAGUCCGGAAGAGGAGAGUGGAACUUCCUGGUGUAGCGGUGAAAUGCGCAGAUAUCAGGAAGAACACCUAUGGCGAAGGCAGCUCUCUGGGACGGUACUGACGCUGAGACGCGAAAGCGUGGGGAGCGAACAGG
rnacentral:rRNA from 1 species